UGAAACCAUCUGGACCUGGAGCUUUUCUUUCUGGAAAUUUUAAAAUUAGGAAUCCAAUUAUUUUCAUAGUUACAGAGCUACUCAGAUGACCUGUUUUGCUUUAGGUAAGUUGUGGUAGUUGAUACUUACGACACAUUUGUCCAAUUCAUCUGGGUUGUCAAAUAUAUGUGUGUACAGAAUUUUAAAUAGUUUUUCCCUUAUUAUUAUCCCUUUGAUAUCUGCAGUCUGUAAUGAGUGUAGUCCCUGUUUCAUCCUGAUGUUCAUAAGCUGACUUCUUUUUUUCUUUGUCAAGUUUAUUGAUCUUUUCAAAGAGACAGCUUUAUUUUCACUAGUUUCCCCUUUUGUUUUUUUCUGUUUUCAAUGCCAUUGAUUUCUGCUAUUAUCUGUAUUAUUUCCUUCCAUUUGCUUUAGGUUUUUUUUUUUUUUUUUGUAGAAUCAGUCUCAUUCCCAUGGUGCAGGCCGGAGUGCAGUGGUGCGAUCUCAGCUCACUGCAACCUCCACCUCCCGGGUUCAAGCGAUUCUCCUUCCUCAGCCUCCAGAAUAGCUGGGAUUACAGGUGGCUGCUACCAUGCCCAGCUAAUUUUUUUGUAUUUUUGGUAGAGACGGGGUUUUGCCUUGUUGGCCAGGCUCGUUUCAAACUCCUCACCUCAGGUGAUCCACCCACCUUGGCCUCCCAAAGUGCUCGUAUUACCGGCGUGAGCCACCGUGCCUGGCCUGCUUUAGGUUUCUUUUACCUGCUUUUUUCUUGUUUCUUGAGGGGGGAGCUUAAGUGUAUUCAUUUGAGACAUCCCCUCUUUUCUUUUAUCCCUUUUAAAAACUUUUGUAUAUAAUUAUUAUUGUAGGAAGUUAGGCUUGGGCCCGCAAACUAUGGAAGAACAGAAUAUACUAGGCCACUGCUUUAAUAGCUGGUGCCUGCUUGUUGCCCACCCCCACUCCCCCACCUUAGCUGCCUUGUCCAAACCAAAGAGUUUAGUCUAGAAUGGACAUUUACUAGCCUGCAAAAUAGUUCGCUACAUCUAUUCUUAUCAGCUUGCCUGACUGCCCAGGUCAUAAGUCUAAUACUUGAAAAGCCCCCGAGCUGACCAUGAUUGCAAUGCAUUAUGGGCUGCAACAAAAUACAGGGAGACAACCCUAAAAAAAAAAACAACAACCUAAAAGUCCCAACCCAAGAUCCAAUAGGCGACAUCCGGGAAUACUGUGACCCCAUAGUACUCAGCCUAUGAGGAACCGGGGGAGGCACUUCCACACUAGGGGAUAAAUUGCUUGUUGUAAGCCUACUGGGUGUGCCUGCCUACCAGACACCCGAUCUUGCAAGACUGUCAUUAAUAAUAAGUCGCACUUCUGCUGUUUUCCGGGUCUUGGAGUCCAUUCUUUGGGUUUGGACGGGUGAGUUUAUUUCUCACGAUUAUUUCCAGGCAGGCCUUGCCCAGUGGGUGGCUCAUGCUUGUAAUCCCAGCACUUUGAGAGGGUAAGCCUGGUGGAUCACCUGAGGUCACGAGUUCGAGACCAGCCUGGCUAACAUGGUGAAGCCCCGUCUCUACUAAAAAUACAAAAAUUAGCCGAGCGUGGUGGCGAGGGCCUGUGGUCCCAGCUACUCGGGAGGCUGAGACAGGAGAAUCACUUGAACCCAAGAGGCGGAGGUUGCAGUGAGCCGAGAUGGCAUCACUGCAUGCGACAGUGCAAGACUCCGUUUCAAAUAAUAAUAAUAAUAAUAAUAAUAACAAUAAUAAUAAUGGCACUACCUAAAGUUAUGCAAGCAUUUGCCUUAGAUAAAAUUUCAAGUUUUCAAAGCUGUUAGCUGGGUGGACGGCAUGGCUUUACUUCCUAUUUCUUGGUAUUUCCUAAUCUUGUUGAAAAAGUUUUUCUUUUUCUCAAAGGCUUAUUUCAGUGGAAGCCCAUCUGCAAAAUCUGUUAUUAAUUUAAAUUAGAAAAUCACUACAAGUCCCACUGACAUGUGGGUUAUUGUUUUUGCGAGUGACCUAAGGCCACCUCUCGGGGGAGCUGGGGGUUGCCUUCCCACGUCUGCGCGUCUGCACCCCAUGCCCGGGCCUGGAAGUCAGACUCGGGGGCGGUGCUGCAGCACCAGGCCUGCAGUCCUAAGCGCGGGGUCGCUCCGGGCCCCCGAGGGGGUGUGUCUUCUGCCCCUUUAACCUGGCAGGGGCAGUUCAAGUGGCCCGGGAAAUCAGCGAUUUGUAGGGUCAAGGGCUGGUGCUUUAAAAGAGAGGCGGAGGGGAGAGAGGGAUUUCCCGGUCUCUGCUGCACUCUGUCUAUCCGCUCGGUUACUCCUUUUCCUGGCCCGCGCGAACCCGCUGUGCCGCAGAGGCGGCCAUGUACCUUUAAGGCCCCGCUGCGCCUGCGCCUUGGGCUCUCCUGACGCGCCGAGCGGGACCCUGAGGAUCCAGCUGGCCGCAGGCUAUGGGCUGGGCGGCGGUUGAGACAGCGGCGAUAUUGGGAGGGGUAGGUGAGCGUCGCGAGGCAGCGUGAGCUUCUGAGUGAACGCGGUGCUUUUGGGAACGCGGGACGGGCGACCUGUGGCGCCAGGAGCGGGCCGAGGCGCGGCGGCGCGGCUGCCGUCUGGAUGGGAAGUUACGGUUUACAGCGAAGUCCACCCAGCGUUUCCGAGGUGAAGGCGCCGCGCCAGGCCGGGCGGGCGGCUGGUGAUGGGCAAGCCGGGUGUACCAAGUCCAGGAUGCACAUGAGGAGCGUUUGUAGCCGUCACUGAAUCACCUCAUGACUAGCGGGGCAGGCCUCUAAUUCACCGCAGGAUUUCCGGUAGGUUGGAUUGUGGGGUUGGUGUUUGCACUCCAAAGAGUUGCUGUGAUUUCCCUGUAUCUGUCUUUCUGGCUUGUUAGAUCUUCUCAUUUGGCGUCCUUUCUCCGAAGAGUUAACCAAGACGUUUGGCAUGGUUUCCUUGCUUUCCUCCUAUCUUUUGCUGCUAGAGCUGCUUUCGAAAAGAAGUCUUUUCUUGCAGUGGUAUCUUUUCUUUGGGUUACAGUGUUGUUCAUCCUUUCUUUGCCGAAAGAAUGAAUCCCAGUGCUUCACGAGGUUAAAGGAAAGAUCUGCUGGUAGUGUUUAGUCUUUGUUCUGAGCUGAUAUGUGUUAGUAGCUUUUUGUUUUUAAAUUUUAUUAGUAAAAUUUCACCAGUGAACCAGAAGCUCUUUUUUUCUGUUGUGAAAUGCUAGCUUUAAGAUUUCUGAGAACUUUGUGUCAAAGAAAUCUUUGAAAAGUUACUGAAGUAUACAGAGAGGUUCACAAUUUUAAAUGUGCAGGUGGUCCGGGCGCGGUAGAUCACACCUGUAAUCCCAGCACUUUGGGACGCCAAGGUGGGCGGAUCACUUGAGCCCAGGAUUUCCAGACCAGCCUGGGCAACGUGCCAAAACCCUAUCUCUACUAAAAUUACAAAAGUUAGCUGUGUGUGGUGGUGUGUGCCUGUAGUCCCAGCUACCUGGUAGGCUGAGGUGGGAGGAUCACCAGAGCCCAGGAGGUUGAGAUUGCAGUGAGCCGUGAUCAUGGCAGUGCACUCCCGCCUGGGUGGCAGAGUGAGACCCUGUCUCCAAAAAAAAAAAAAAAAAAAAAAGUACAGGUAAUGAAUUUUUACCAAGUGAACCACCACAGAUCAAGAAAUAGAGCAUUACUAGACUGGGGUAUAUUUGUAGGAGUGGCAUUGUUGGUUUUAGAGGUAUAUGAAUGAUAAAACUUAGUAUUACAUACUGUUGAACGUUUUCCCAAAGUGGUUGUACCAUUUAGCAGGGAUAUUCUGGUUACCCCACAUCCUUGCUGAUGCCUGUCAGUUAAAAAUUAUUUUGCCAUUCUAGUAGGGGUGCAGUAAUGUAUCAGUGUGAUUUCAUUUUGCAUUUUCCUGGUAUUGAGAUUGAGUAUCUUUUAUUGUCAUUUGUGUGUCCUCUUUUGUGAAGUGCCUGUUAAAUCUUUUUAUCCAGUUUUCAUUGAUAUGCUUGUUUUUCUGUUGAUUUGUAAUACUUUUUUCCGGAUAUGUGUCCUUUCUACGAUAUAUAUGUAUUGCAUUUCCCUUUUUUCAAUCUGUAGCUUGCCUUUUCGCUCUUUUAAUGGUGCUUAUUCAUGAAUGGAGAUUCUCUAACUUUUUUUUUUCUUUUUGAGACAAGAUCUCACUCUGUUGCCCAGGCUGGAGUGCAGUGGCACAAUCACAGCUGACCACAACCUUGACCUCCCAAGGCUCAGGUGAUCCUCCUGCCUCAGCCCCCAAGUAGCUGGGACCUACAGGCAAUCUGAAAGCAAAUCCUGUUUAGAUGCAGGCGAAGGUUCCUGGUGACCCAGGCUCUCACCUUACCGUCCCUUACCGUCCUCCUGAGGGUGUCCUGGAGCUUCAGUGCUGUGUGUUCUUGGCCUCCAUGCUGGGGGUGCCACCAAUUCCCACUGUCCAGGGCUUCCAGUGGACUCUCCGAGGUACUGAUGUAGAAACUUCCCCAUUCGGUGCACCAAGAGCAACCUCACACGGUGUGGGCCAAAUGAAGAGCUGCCAGAUCCCACAGAUGGAGUUAUUUCUCUUUUCCUUGGGCUCGAAUGCAACGGCGCCAUCUCAGCUCACUGCAACCUCCACCUCCUGAGUUCAAGUGAUUCUCCUGCCUCAGCCUCCUGAAUAGCUGGGAUUACAGGCGCCUGCCACCGCACCUGGCUAAUAAAUGUGAUUGAUAAUAGUAAAGCCACACUCCUCAAGUGCCUGAAAUACCCCUCAUUGUCUUCUUCAGGUGGCAAGGGCUCUGGAACAGCCACAUAAAGGCUGAUGACUUCAGGGACAUGAGCAUGGGAUACCUGUCAUCACCACCACCAUAAAGUUGGGAUUCAGGAAGGAGGUUAAUCAUAUAAAGAAUCCUGUGACCAGUAUGAGCUUCUCUCAGGCCACACAGGGCACUCAAGUGAACAGGGCAUGGGGGCCCUGGGGUCAUGGUAAGAAAGUGUCUCAUUGGUAAAACCUUUUCCUCUGGGGAGGUAAAUAAAUGAUUUGUUUCUUCU
rnacentral:lncRNA from 1 species